AUUCCAUCCCGGUUAGAUUCCAUUUCACAUGUGGAGUUGUCUUUUGUCUUUUCAGCCUAUUAUGACUUUUGAAGAAAUAUAAGAAAGGUGAGUCCAUGUGACUAGUUCUGGCCAAAGGAGUCAUGAACAGAAGCAACAUGGGUCACUUCUGGGCCAAAACAUUUAACUGACAGAGUGAGACCUUCAUGAACUGUCUUUCCUGCUGUCACAGUGAUUGGAAGCAUUCCAGAUAGUGGUUGCAACAUCCAUCAGUCUGGUCUCUGAAAGACAAUGAAGAACAAUACCCUCAAAUGAUCUGCACCAGAUGUACAGAGCUAGAGAUAACCUCUCAAUGAUACACCAAGAAAGAGAAAAAAAAGGCAUAUUUCUCACUGACACACACUAAAAUCCGAUGAAGUGAGAAGACUACCUUUUUUGACAGUCCUUUUAUCUUCACUCUCCAACUAAAGUUUGAGAGAAAGAAUUAUUGAAAUUCAAUAAAGAAUUAUGGCAAUCCCAGCCUUCACUCCCCUUGAUGCCCCAUAGGAAGAGUGAACAUCCUGAAAAGAUGAAAAAGUUUUCCAGGAAAAAGAAACAGUUAACAGGAACUUUGACUGGAUUUGAUUCCCUGCUGUGUGAGUGGAGAGACCCUAAUCUGUCUGGAUGCUGAGCAAGUUCUCUGCACAUAGUUGAUGGUGAAAACAUGCUUGUUGGGUGAAAAAAUGGGUCAUCAGUAAACAGGGCACUUCAGUACUUUCCAAUUCUAAUUCAAGUCAACAGAGGAAGGCAGAGAUAUAAAGUUCUCUUAAUAUGGAAUUCACUGAGAAGAAUAACAAUUAUUUUCCAGGAACCCUAAAAUAGUGGAGGGUUUGAAAAUCCUAGUUGAGCAUUUAAGCCAGUUAUAAAAACCUUAGAUUUUCAACCAGCUUUAACAAUCUUAAAGAAAGUGUGUCCCAGGAGAUGAGAAUUAAGGAUAUUUACC